rnacentral:lncRNA from 1 species
GAGAACCGGCAACUAACAACGGAUGCAAGAUUGAAAAUUGGCGGCAACGGAUAUGCCGAUGCAAUGCAGAUGAUGCGCAUGAUGCGAUGAUGAUGCGACAAAAGACAAUAGACACACGACGAAAACGGAAUAGAGGGGAAUCUUCUGGAACGUCGGCAACGGGCUGUCACAACUCUCCUACACUACAAGAGUAUCUCGCCUCGAGAUCCAAGAAUGAAAGGGGGAGAGGAUAAGAAAGAACAAGAGGUAAAAACUUAGUCGCUUCUUGACAAAUGAGUGAAACCAAUGAUCCUUGAAGGUUGCAAAGAGAUGAGGAAUGAUAUGAGAAAGAAGCAAGAAUUCAUGGAAAAUUUCGGCAGCACUUCGGUAGGAAAACGGGACAAAAAAAUUGAUAAUAUGGAAGAAAUAGACAAUAUU